UUGCAGUGCUUCUUGGUUUAGCGCUCUCUGUGUCCUUAGAAUAAUAGGAUAGAGCGGCAUUUGAGACAUUCUAUUUUCUAUCACUGGGGUAUUAUUAAAUUGUAAAAGUAUGUUGUUUUUAACAAAUACGCUUAAUCACCAUGGGUCGACGUUUUAGUGUUU
rnacentral:ribozyme from 1 species